rnacentral:rRNA from 1 species
CGAACGGUCCCGAUAAAGCCGUAAGGUGAUAUCGGGGUAGUGGCAAACGGGUGAGUAAUACGUGGAUAAUCUACCUUUGAGUGGGGGAUAACUUUACGAAAGUGGAGCUAAUACCGCGUAAGACUACAGAAUCGCGUGAUUCAGUAGUAAAAGGCUUCGGUUUACCGGAGUCGCUUAAGGAUGAGUCCGCGCCUGAUUAGCUAGUUGGUAAGGUAAUAGCUUACCAAGGCAACGAUCAGUAGUCGGCCUGAAAGGGUGUUCGGCCACAUUGGAAUUGAGAUACGGUCCAGACUCCUACGGGAGGCAGCAGUGGGGAAUUUUGCGCAAUGGGGGAAACCCUGACGCAGUGACGCCGCGUGAACGAUGAAGUCCUUCGGGAUGUAAAGUUCUGUCAGGCGGGAAGAAUCUUUCCCCGAUGCAAGUCGGGGGAGAAUGACGGUACCGCCAGAGGAAGCACCGGCUAAUUCCGUGCCAGCAGCCGCGGUAACACGGAGGGUGCAAGCGUUGUUCGGAAUUACUAGGCGUAAAGAGCGUGUAGGUGGUUAGCUAAGUCGGAUGUGAAAAUCCCAAGCUUAACUUGGAACGUGCAUUCGAAACUGGUUAACUUGAGUGUAGGAGAGGAGAGCGGAAUUCCUAGUGUAGCGGUGAAAUGCGUAGAUAUUAGGAAGAACACCGGUGGCGAAGGCGGCUCUCUGGCCUAAAACUGACACUGAGACGCGAAAGCGUGGGUAGCGAACAGGAUUAGAUACCCUGGUAGUCCACGCCGUAAACGAUGGGCAUUAGGUGUAGGAGGUAUCCAAUCCUUCUGUGCCGAAGUUAACGCAUUAAAUGCCCCGCCUGGGGAGUACGACCGCAAGGUUGAAACUC